rnacentral:rRNA from 1 species
UAGGGAAUCUUCGGCAAUGGGGGGAACCCUGACCGAGCAACGCCGCGUGAGUGAAGAAGGUUUUCGGAUCGUAAAGCUCUGUUGUUAAGGAAGAACGAGUGUGAGAAUUGAAAGUUCAUACUGUGACGGUACUUAACCAGAAAGGGACGGCUAACUACGUGCCAGCAGCCGCGGUAAUACGUAGGUCCCGAGCGUUGUCCGGAUUUAUUGGGCGUAAAGCGAGCGCAGGCGGUUAGAUAAGUCUGAAGUUAAAGGCAGUGGCUCAACCAUUGUAGGCUUUGGAAACUGUUUAACUUGAGUGCAGAAGGGGAGAGUGGAAUUCCAUGUGUAGCGGUGAAAUGCGUAGAUAUAUGGAGGAACACCGGUGGCGAAAGCGGCUCUCUGGUCUGUAUCUGACGCUGAGGCUCGAAAGCGUGGGGAGCGAACAGG